GGAAUUGUGGCUCAGCGGUACAGCACUUGCCUUGUAUGUGUGAGGCACUGGGUUCGAUUUCCAGCACCA
rnacentral:tRNA from 1 species